AUUGAACGCUGGCGGCAGGCUUAACACAUGCAAGUCGAGCGGAUGAAGGUAGCUUGCUACUGGAUUCAGCGGCGGACGGGUGAGUAAUGCUUAGGAAUCUGCCUAUUAGUGGGGGACAACGUUCCGAAAGGNGCGCUAAUACCGCAUACGUCCUACGGGAGAAAGCAGGGGACCUUNGGGCCUUGCGCUAAUAGAUGAGCCUAAGUCGGAUUAGCUAGUUGGUAGGGUAAAGGCCUACCAAGGCGACGAUCUGUAGCGGGUCUGAGAGGAUGAUCCGCCACACUGGGACUGAGACACGGCCCAGACUCCUACGGGAGGCAGCAGUGGGGAAUAUUGGACAAUGGGGGGAACCCUGAUCCAGCCAUGCCGCGUGUGUGAAGAAGGCCUUUUGGUUGUAAAGCACUUUAAGCGAGGAGGAGGCUACCUAGAUUAAUACUUUAGGAUAGUGGACGUUACUCGCAGAAUAAGCACCGGCUAACUCUGUGCCAGCAGCCGCGGUAAUACAGAGGGUGCGAGCGUUAAUCGGAUUUACUGGGCGUAAAGCGUGCGUAGGCGGCCAAUUAAGUCAAAUGUGAAAUCCCCGAGCUUAACUUGGGAAUUGCAUUCGAUACUGGUUGGCUAGAGUAUGGGAGAGGAUGGUAGAAUUCCAGGUGUAGCGGUGAAAUGCGUAGAGAUCUGGAGGAAUACCGAUGGCGAAGGCAGCCAUCUGGCCUAAUACUGACGCUGAGGUACGAAAGCAUGGGGAGCAAACAGGAUUAGAUACCCUGGUAGUCCAUGCCGUAAACGAUGUCUACUAGCCGUUGGGGCCCUUGAGGCUUUAGUGGCGCAGCUAACGCGAUAAGUAGACCGCCUGGGGAGUACGGUCGCAAGACUAAAACUCAAAUGAAUUGACGGGGGCCCGCACAAGCGGUGGAGCAUGUGGUUUAAUUCGAUGCAACGCGAAGAACCUUACCUGGCCUUGACAUACAGAGAACUUUCCAGAGAUGGAUUGG
rnacentral:rRNA from 1 species